GAACGAAGCACUUUAUUUGAUUUCCUUCGGGACUGAUUAUUUUGUGACUGAGUGGCGGACGGGUGAGUAACGCGUGGGUAACCUGCCUUGUACAGGGGGAUAACAGUUGGAAACGGCUGCUAAUACCGCAUAAGCGCACAGCAUCGCAUGAUGCAGUGUGAAAAACUCCGGUGGUAUAAGAUGGACCCGCGUUGGAUUAGCUAGUUGGUGAGGUAACGGCCCACCAAGGCGACGAUCUAUAGCCGACCUGAGAGGGUGACCGGCCACAUUGGGACUGAGACACGGCCCAAACUCCUACGGGAGGCAGCAGUGGGGAAUAUUGCACAAUGGGCGAAAGCCUGAUGCAGCGACGCCGCGUGAGCGAAGAAGUAUUUCGGUAUGUAAAGCUCUAUCAGCAGGGAAGAUAAUGACGGUACCUGACUAAGAAGCACCGGCUAAAUACGUGCCAGCAGCCGCGGUAAUACGUAUGGUGCAAGCGUUAUCCGGAUUUACUGGGUGUAAAGGGAGCGCAGGCGGUGCGGCAAGUCUGAUGUGAAAGCCCGGGGCUCAACCCCGGUACUGCAUUGGAAACUGUCGUACUAGAGUGUCGGAGGGGUAAGCGGAAUUCCUAGUGUAGCGGUGAAAUGCGUAGAUAUUAGGAGGAACACCAGUGGCGAAGGCGGCUUACUGGACGAUAACUGACGCUGAGGCUCGAAAGCGUGGGG
rnacentral:rRNA from 1 species